rnacentral:rRNA from 1 species
UGAGGAAUAUUGGUCAAUGGACGAGAGUCUGAACCAGCCAAGUAGCGUGAAGGAUGACUGCCCUAUGGGUUGUAAACUUCUUUUAUACGGGAAUAAAGUGAGGCACGUGUGCCUUUUUGUAUGUACCGUAUGAAUAAGGAUCGGCUAACUCCGUGCCAGCAGCCGCGGUAAUACGGAGGAUCCGAGCGUUAUCCGGAUUUAUUGGGUUUAAAGGGAGCGUAGGCGGACGCUUAAGUCAGUUGUGAAAGUUUGCGGCUCAACCGUAAAAUUGCAGUUGAUACUGGGUGUCUUGAGUACAGUAGAGGCAGGCGGAAUUCGUGGUGUAGCGGUGAAAUGCUUAGAUAUCACGAAGAACUCCGAUUGCGAAGGCAGCCUGCUGGACUGUAACUGACGCUGAUGCUCGAAAGUGUGGGUAUCAAACA